AUUGAACGCUGGCGGCAGGCCUAACACAUGCAAGUCGAGCGGAUGAGGAAAGCUUGCUUUUCGAUUCAGCGGCGGACGGGUGAGUAAUGCCUAGGAAUCUGCCUGUUAGUGGGGGAUAACUCGGGGAAACUCGGGCUAAUACCGCAUACGUCCUACGGGAGAAAGUGGGGGAUCUUCGGACCUCACGCUAACAGAUGAGCCUAGGUCGGAUUAGCUAGUAGGUGGGGUAAUGGCUCACCUAGGCGACGAUCCGUAACUGGUCUGAGAGGAUGAUCAGUCACACUGGAACUGAGACACGGUCCAGACUCCUACGGGAGGCAGCAGUGGGGAAUAUUGGACAAUGGGCGAAAGCCUGAUCCAGCCAUGCCGCGUGUGUGAAGAAGGUCUUCGGAUUGUAAGCACUUUAAGUUGGGAGGAAGGGUAUUCACCUAAUACGUGGGUACUUUGACGUUACCAGCAGAAUAAGCACCGGCUAACUCUGUGCCAGCAGCCGCAGUAAGAC
rnacentral:rRNA from 1 species